ensembl:lincRNA
AUGAAAGAACUGCUUUUUCUAUUUUUCUUUUCGUAUGUGUGUGUUAUAGAUGGAUCUGAGAACGCUGUCUGGGCUUGGUGCCAAGGGCUGGUAUUUCACAGCAGCGACCGCCUCACAGACGAGCUGUGGGAAGCAGGAGGGAGACUCUCUCUUAGGGUGCCACUACUAUGGAGACACAGCUGGGCUGAACAAGAUUUGCUUCAAACGACAACAAGAGAGACAGAAAGUAUCUGGUUCAACCGCUGCCCGAGCAGGCAGGCACCAGAAGAGCUAGCAGCCAAUCCGGCCAUGCUCGAAGCCAGCUCUGCAGCUCAGCCAAUCAGUGACAUCAUUGCUUUCUUUAGCUUGCCCAUGGUGAUGUGAAGAUGAGAAGAAAUAGCAAGGCCCAACCAGUUCUUCAUCUGGAGACAGUCCAACGUUCUGCAAACCAGGUAAAAAUAAUACAGACGAUUUUAGGAAUGCAUAGUCACUUUAUAAAAUAAACUAUUUUCUUUCUCAAGUUUGAUCUACAGAUUUUUGCAAGAAGCUAUAUUUAUCAUCUAAUGUAUAACUUGUUAAUAAACAUGACAUUAUAUCAAUUUCGAUUAUCUGUGAAGAGCAGAGUGACUAAAGCAUGCAUUUGUGCAUUGACUCAUUAAUAAAGUUAUAGUUGUAGUAUAACUUACUUUUAUAGAAAUAUUUUAAAGAAAAAAGAGGACAUGUGGCUACAAUUCUAAACAAAGUAAAGAGAGGUAUGGGCUAAAUAAAUUUAAUAUUUCUUUAAAAAAUAACUUUUACCAAAUGAAUACAUGUGCAUAUAUUUAAAAUUCGGGUAAAUUUAAAGGCUAGUAACUAAAGAAAUAAACCUUUUGGCACAACUGCAGGAAAGGAACCACUUUCAAACUCUUUAAUUUGUAUUUUACUUUUGUGGUUUUAAAUAACAUCUAUACAUCUAUCUCAUGAUUUUUAGAGUUAGUGCUCUAACAAUUGAUUUCUUGUUGCUAUAGAUGUGGAUUUAAACUUCCUUAAGACCUCCAAAUUCUUGAUUCUCCCAGUAUAGCUAUAUCACUAUUUUUAUUGUUUUAAUUUAAAUCUGUAUCUGAAUUUAUAGUUAGUAAGACUAUACAAAUAAUGUUUACUGCUGAGCCUGGUGAUGUGAUAUGAUUGCAUUCUCUUUACUGUAGCAGAAUUUUCAUUUUCUCUUAAAGUCAGUGCCCUUCCUUCCUUCCUUCCUUCCUCCCUCCCUCCCUCUCUCCCUCCCUCCCUCCCUCCCUCUGUCCCUCCCUUCCUCCCUCCCUGCCUCCCUCCAUCCCUCCUUCCUCCUUCUCUCUCUCUCUUUCUUUCUUUUUUUGAUGGAGUCUCUCUCUGUCACCCAGGCUGGAGUGCAGUGGUGGGAUCUCGGCUCACUGCAGCCUCUGCUUCCCGGGUUCAAGCGAUUCUCCUGCCUCAGCCUCCCGAGUAGUUGGGAUUACAGGCAUGUGCCACAAAGUCUGGCUAAUGUUUUUGGUAUUUUUAUUAGAAACGGGGUUUCACCAUGUUGGCCAGGCUGGUCUCGAACUCCUGAUCUCAAGUGAUCUGCCCGCCUUGGCCUCCCAACGUCUGGGAUUACAGGUGUGAGCCACCUUUAUUUUUCUUUUGCUCAGUUUCUCCCUCACCAUCUCCCUAUCUCCCUUUUUCCCUCCUUCCUUUUUCCCUCCCUUCCUCCUAUUCUUCUUCUUUUUAUUUUUUUUCUAGGUCUUCCCAAACCCUCCAUUAUCUUUAUAAAAUGCCUUUCUAUUCAAUUUUCUACAAUGACAAGCUGGUCAAAUAAUCUAGAAAGGUCCCCUUCCCACUACCCUUGGAGAAAUCUCUCCUGCUACCCUGGCUCCUUCCAGAUAAAAGUAGAAAGAGACAGGAGACUUUUAUCUCCUUCCACUUUUACCUUCCACUUUUACCUUCCACUUUUAUCUCUAGUUGCGCUCGAAGGCUUCUUAUAAAGAGAUGGCAUUUAGGGUUUUGUUUUUGUUUUUAUUUUGGCUGUCUCCCUAGUUUAUUCUUCCAUUUUAUGAUGUGGUAGGUGUUUUUUUGUUGUUGUUUGUUUUUGUUUUUGUUGUUGUUUUUUGUUUUUUGUUUUUUUUCUAGAAAUCAUGUCCUCUUUUUACUUGGCCCUGCCAAAAAGCUUGAUUUUACCCCAGUAAAACUGAUGUUAAGUUUCUGGCCUCCAGAACUGUAACGGAAGAAAUUUCAGUUGUUUUUAAGUCACCAAGUUUGUGGGAAUUUGUUAUACAAGAAAGAAACACAAUUUGUAUUAGAGUUUCUUUUUCUUCCUCAUUCUUUGCAAUGAUUUUUG